rnacentral:tRNA from 8 species
GCGAAUGUGGCGUAACUGGAUAGCGCAACUGGCUACGAACCAGUAGGUUGCAGGUUCGAGUCCUGCCACUCGCA